GACGGGGGAUGCAAGCGUUAUCCGGAAUCACUGGGCGUAAAGCGUCUGUAGGUGGUGAUGCAAGUCACUGGUGCAAGGCUCUGGCUCAACCGGAGGAAAGCCAGUGAAACUGCAUGGCUAGAGUGUGGGAGAGGUAGAAGGAAUUCCCUGAGUAGCGGUGAAAUGCGUAGAGACAGGGAAGAACACCGGAGGCGAAAGCGUUCUACUGGAACUCAACUGACGAUGAGAGACGAAAGCUAGGGGAGCGAAUGGG
rnacentral:rRNA from 1 species